rnacentral:rRNA from 1 species
GACGAACGCUGGCGGCGUGCUUAACACAUGCAAGUCGAACGGAAAGGCCCUGCUUUUGUGGGGUGCUCGAGUGGCGAACGGGUGAGUAACACGUGAGUAACCUGCCCUUGACUUUGGGAUAACUUCAGGAAACUGGGGCUAAUACCGGAUAGGAGCUCCUGCUGCAUGGUGGGGGUUGGAAAGUUUCGGCGGUUGGGGAUGGACUCGCGGCUUAUCAGCUUGUUGGUGGGGUAGUGGCUUACCAAGGCUUUGACGGGUAGCCGGCCUGAGAGGGUGACCGGCCACAUGGGGACGGAGAUACGGCCCAGACCCCAACGGGGGGAAGGAGGGGGGAAUAUUGCACAAGGGGCGGAAGCCUGAGGCAGCAACGCCGGGGGGGGGAUGACGGCCUUCGGGUUGAAAACGGCUUUCGCCUGUGACGAAGCGGGGGUGAGGGUAAUGGGUAAAGAAGCACCGGCUAACUACGU